GCUGGGUAUGGUGGCUCAUGCCUGUAAUCCCAGCACUUUGGGAAGUUGAGGCGGGUGGAUCACCUGAGGUCAGGAGUUCAAGACCAGCCUGACCAACAUGGUGAAACCCCGUCUCUA
ensembl:misc_RNA Metazoa_SRP Metazoan signal recognition particle RNA